GCGUGGAUAGCUCAAUCGGUAGAGCACGAGAUUCUUAAUCUUAGAGUCGUGAGUUCGAGCCCCGCGUUGGGCA